AUCACUUCUCGGCCUUUUGGCUAAGAUCAAGUGAAGAACACUGGAGCGUUUGCCAUGUCAUUCAAUAUUCUCUGAGAAGAUAAUUUUGAAUACUACGUAAUAUUUCUUUGUAUCCAUAUGUGCCAGUUUAUUUAACAAUUUCACCAUUAUUGGUAAUUUUGACUACAUUCU
ensembl:snRNA U2 U2 spliceosomal RNA